rnacentral:lncRNA from 1 species
AUUUAGCCAACUUCAAUAAAUGAUCAUGACCCAACAGCAAUCCCUCGCUAGGCUAGAAGCACAAAUAGAUCAAUUAGCUGAGUCUACCAUGAGAAGAGAACUAGGUCAACUGUCGAGCCAAUCAAUACUGAAUUUUGAAAAUAACCUAACCACCCACCAACCACCUGGACCUAGUCAACAAUCCAAUGUCCCACCUAAGAAUCCUCA